rnacentral:rRNA from 1 species
AACGAACGCUGGCGGCAGGCUUAACACAUGCAAGUCGAGCGCCCCGCAAGGGGAGCGGCAGACGGCGGAGUAACGCGUUGGAAUCUACCCAUCCCUACGGAAUAACGCAGGGAAACGAGUGCUAAGACCGUAUACUGCCUUCGGGAGAAAGAUUUACCGGAGAUGGAUGAGCCCGCGGUGGAUGAGCGAGUUGGUGGGGUAAAGGCCUACCAAGGCGACGAUCCAUAGCAGGUUUGAGAGGAUGAUCAGCCACACUGGGACUGCGACACGGCCCAGACUCCUACGGGAGGCAGAAGUGGGGAAUAUUGGACAAUGGGCGCAAGCCGGAUCCAGCCAUGCCGCGUGAGUGAUGAAGGCCCUAGGGUUGUAAAGCUCUUUCACCGGUGAAGAUAAUGACGGUAACCGGAGAAGAAGCCCCGGCUAACUUCGUGCCAGCAGCCGCCGUAAGAC